UACGUAGGGUGCGAGCGUUGUCCGGAAUUACUGGGCGUAAAGAGCUCGUAGGUGGUUUGUCGCGUUGUUCGUGAAAACUCACAGCUCAACUGUGGGCGUGCGGGCGAUACGGGCAGACUGGAGUACUGCAGGGGAGACUGGAAUUCCUGGUGUAGCGGUGGAAUGCGCAGAUAUCAGGAGGAACACCGGUGGCGAAGGCGGGUCUCUGGGCCGUAACUGACGCUGAGGUGCGAAAGCGUGGGGAGCAAACAGG
rnacentral:rRNA from 1 species